AUCUGAAAGCUCCCCGAAUCGGUUCGGUUUACGGCUGUUCGUCGUCGUCGCGAGUGCGCCAAGAAAUAGCGAAAGUUCAAAGACUUGCGUGAGAGGUAGUCCCCAGUGAGGAGUUCCAGCCAUGUUGCCGCUGCAGGAGCCGCAGUCCUCGAACUGGCAGCUGGAGGACUACGCGUUCUUCCGGAAGUGCGGGGAAAUCACCGCCUCGCCGGACGUCCAGAGCUUCGGCUUCAACUGCGCCUUCUGCCCGGCGAUCUGCCUGCAGUUCUCCGUGUUCAUGGACCACAUCCGGGUGCAGCACACCCAGGACAUGCGGCGGCGCUACGAGUCCGGGGAGGGGCGCAGCCAGCAGCAAACCCAAACCGAUCUGGUGAUAAUGGAGCUCGACUGCCCGGAGAUGUUUCAGCCAGAGGGCCAGGGGAAAGCCAGCUGGGAGACGGACAUAGACAUCCAGCUAAUGACCCUUGUUCCGCCCACUCCCGGCCUGCAUGUAGCACCACCCCCACCGCCACCGCCUCCACCACCUGAAACACCCGAAAUAGACUUGGUCUAUGUGGUGGAAAACCCAUUGCCACCCUCGCCGCCGCCCUCCGCGGACAUUUCGGGCGACGAGUUGCCGGGGAACUGCCUGCAGUCCUUCGACUUGGAUCCCUUCGCCAUUCUGCACGAGGUGGUGGCGAUGACUCCGCCCACUCCCAUUGCUCCACCGCCGGCUCCGGUUGCGACUCCACUGCCGCGGUACGAGACACGACGCGUGGCUCUGCAGCGCAAACUUCGCCAGGCGGAAAACGAGAAUGCUAAAGUUGGGGGGAAGAAAGAGAGGGAGGAGAAGGUGGAUAUGGAUUCGGAAGAGGUAGCGGUGGAGAAAGAGGAAAAGAGUGGGCAGUCGGAGAAGAACGUGCUGGAACUGACGCCUCCAGCCACGCCCCCUACCCCAUUGCCGGCCACCUCGCCUUCGAGCAGCACUACGAGUUGCGUGGAUUUCCAAACGAAAACGCGUAGGGAGCUGGAGCGGAAUCGUGAGUUCGUUGGCUGUCUGUUGGCGGAGUACGAGCGCACUGAGAAGUUGUGGAAUCCGCGCCACCCGGACUACAAGUACAAUACCAAGCGGAGUGUCUACGGAGAACUGGCUGACCCGCUGGAGGCCAUCUGCCACAAGCGGCUGACCGGAGCCGAGAUCUUUGCUGUGCUGAAGGAGCUAAGGGGCAGAUACCGCCGCGAACUGAACAAACUGAACGCCCUCGGCGGAAAGUACAAGUCGCGGUUGUGGUACUUUGAGAAGAUGCACUUUCUCAGAAGCGUCAUAGAGAACAGAAAAGCCGAGAGGGAGGCCAAGCUCUCCAAUGAGAGCGCCGAGAGCGAGAAGUCCUGCGAAACGGACGCGGAGUCCUCCAGCAAGUCAACAUUGUACCACGAAGUACUCAGCUUCAUCCUGAAUUGCUUUAAGCGGCAGGAGUGCCUGUGGAAUCCGAUGCACCUCGACUACAGCAGCUGCUGCAAGAAGGAGCUGUUUGGGGACAUCUCAGCCCAGUUGCAGGAGGAACUCAACUACGAGCUGAGCGGCGAGGAGUGCUUCAACGAGAUCCAGAAGCUGAGGACACGCUACCGCAAAGAGCUGCGCAUGGUGAUCAAGCACAAAGGCCUGUACCUGCCCAAGCUAUGGUGUUACGACGAAAUGGAGUUCCUGCAUCCCAUUCUGCAGGAGCAAAUCUUCAAUAAGAUCAGCAAGAAAGUCGGAGUGGUGGAGACCACUCAGAAGACCAAGUUCAUUGAUGCCAGCUCCAUACAGUUUGACAACUCCGAGGAUCAAUUGCAGUUCGUGGAGAUCUACCGCAACUACUCGGCUCUGUGGGAUGUGGACCAUCCCGACUUUCGGUCGAAUACGUAUCGUGGCCAGGCCUUGGGUCAAAUGUUGGAUGAGAUAAACACCACUUUUCACACAUCCUACACCGCGGAGCAGUUGGAGAAGACCUUGUUUGAACUGCGUAAAGACUUCUCGGCCCAGAAACGAAAGAUACUCACCGAGUCCGGGGACUCCAGCAGUGUUCCCUUGAUGCACGCCAAGCUGUCGGAGUUCCUGGACCAAAACCUCGGACCUUUCCGAUGCGAUAUAUGUUCGGAGCUCAUCAAGACCUGCGAUCAGUACAAGGUGCACCGGUCCGCACACGAUGGCACCCAGCCCUUCAUCUGCACGCUGUGCGGGAAGGGCUUCCAGAUGCCCUGCAACCUGACGGUGCACAUCAGACGGCAUCGGAGGGACUUCCCAUACGCCUGCGAGCAGUGCGACAAGCGCUUCGCCACAUCCACGGAGGUGGCUAUCCACCUGCGCACUCACACCGGCGAGCGGCCCUACAUCUGCGAUCUGUGCGGGAAAUCCUUUAAGACGUGGUCCUUUUUCGAUAUCCACCGGCGCAGGCACCUUAACCAGUCGACAUUCCACUGCCCGAUCUGUGCGAAGGGUUUCUACGAGAAGAACCGCUUCACCGACCACAUGAACUCCCACUGGGCGAUCCGCAAGCACCUGUGCACGGUGUGCGGCAAGACCUUCACCACCUACGGCAACCUCAAGAAGCACACGGAGCUGCAUUUGGCGGUGAAGAAGUACAAGUGCAGCACGUGCCACAAGCGAUUUGCACAAUUCGCCAGUCUGCGAUGGCACAAGAAGAGGGAGCACAGCUCCGAGGGGCAGACGGACGUCAAGUAGAACCUCCAAACACUCGAAGCCCUCCUGUGCACUCGACCGUAUUUACAAGGCAAUCGUAAAGAGUUAGAUGUGUGCCCGUGUACUUAAAGAUAUUGCCGUCUGAAGAAUGUCUGAUAAAUGGCGACAAGUGUUGCUUCUCAAGUUCUGUAAGCAAGUUCUGUUAUCGCCGUAAUCAGACGAUUAGCCAGCCAUUUGUUCAAUGCUUGUAACUGGUUUAAGAGCCGG